CCCACGACUAGGACCGUCCCAAACUUCCUGUUUCUUCCGGCCGCUCUGACCCCGGGGCUGCGGCUCCGAGAUAGCUCAGGGCCUGGAAGUGCAUGCUGGGACCAACUACAUAAUCCUUGGUAAGAAAAGGAGGUGGCCCUGACAAGUGCAACUCGAGAAAUGCAAUGCUGUAGAGUCCAAAGGUGUCUGACUUGAACGAAAUGAUCCCACUGGGGGACAAUGCAACAUAUACUCCAGGUAAGCAUAGUGGAAAACAUAUUGGACUUAGAUUCAAACACACCUGAACCUGUAACUUAUGAGCCAGGUGACCUUGGGGGUAAGUAAAUUUAUUUCUCUAAUGGGGUUAAAUAAUGCCUACUCAAUGCUUUAAAAGAUUUUCAGUGUGGAAUAAGACUGCAAAUGCUUACAAUAAUAGCACUAAGACUAAUAACAGCUAACAGUUAAUUAUAUAAUGCUUACUAUAUGCUAGGCACUGGUAUUAAGGUCUUUACAUGAAGCACUCAAUAAAUAUUAGCUGCAGAGAAAUCUCACGGAAUUGACUAUAUAACCUGCCCUAACUGACGGGAA
rnacentral:lncRNA from 1 species